CGGCAGGCCUAACACAUGCAAGUCGAACGGUAACAGGAAGCAGCUUGCUGCUUGCUGACGAGUGGCGGACGGGUGAGUAAUGUCUGGGAAACUGCCCGAUGAGGGGGAUAACUACUGGAAACGGUAGCUAAUACCGCAUAAUGUCGCAAGACCAAAGAGGGGGACCUUCGGGCCUCUUGCCAUCGGAUGUGCCCAGAUGGGAUUAGCUAGUUGGUGAGGUAACGGCUCACCAAGGCGACGAUCCCUAGCUGGUCUGAGAGGAUGACCAGCCACACUGGAACUGAGACACGGUCCAGACUCCUACGGGAGGCAGCAGUGGGGAAUAUUGCACAAUGGGCGCAAGCCUGAUGCAGCCAAUGCCGCGUGUAUGAAGAAGGCCUUCGGGUUGUAAAGUACUUUCAGCGGGGAGGAAGGGGUUAAGGUUAAUAACCUUAGCCAUUGACGUUACCCGCAGAAGAAGCACCGGCUAACUCCGUGCCAGCCGCCGC
rnacentral:rRNA from 1 species